ACACUGACCUGGGGGGGGGGGGACGGGUGUACCAUGAUCACGGAGCUGGUUUUCCCAGGUGAGGCUUAUCCAUUGCGCUCCGGGUGUGCUGAGCCCUGUGAUUUCCCCAAGGCGGGAAACUCGACUGCAUAAUGUGCAGUCAUGUGGGACAGCAUUAGCACUAUCACCUA
rnacentral:snRNA from 1 species